CUACGGGGGGCAGCAGUGGGGAAUAUUGGACAAUGGGGGAAGCCCUGAUCCAGCAAUGCCGCGUGUGUGAAGAAGGCCUGCGGGUUGUAAAGCACUUUCGGUUGGGAGGACUGCUUCUAGCACUAAUAUUGUUGGAAGUUGACGUUACCUUCAGAAGAAGCACCGGCUAACUCCGUGCCAGCAGCCGCGGUAAUACGGAGGGUGCAAGCGUUAAUCGGAAUUACUGGGCGUAAAGCGCGCGUAGGCGGCUAGAUCAGUCGGGUGUGAAAGCCCCGGGCUUAACCUGGGAACUGCAUCCGAUGCUGUCUAGCUUGAGUACAGGAGAGGAGAGUGGAAUUCCACAUGUAGCGGUGAAAUGCGUAGAUAUGUGGAGGAACACCAAUGGCGAAGGCAGCUCUCUGGCCUGAUACUGACGCUGAGGUGCGAAAGCGUGGGGAGCAAACAGGGUUAGAUACCCUUGUAGUC
rnacentral:rRNA from 1 species